UUAAAUUGUUAUAAUAGAAUCUAAAAGAUCUAAUGUAUGUAAAUUAUGUCUUUUGGCAGUUACGAAUGCGACGAUUGGGAAACUCAACACACGAAUCCAAAUACACGAAUUACACCUUAUAAGAAUAAACAGCUUAACGUUAUCGUUCAGUGGUAACUACGUUCUGUGAUAUACAUACAUACAGCAUAUAAUAAGGCUUUUCUCAAAUUAAGCAAUAACAAUUGAGCAAAUACAAACGGCCAACAUCAGAAGAUAAAUACUGAACAAUAAUAAAGAUUAGACAUUAAAUGCUUUUCUUUCAGUAUUCGUCCAUUACGGAACCUAAGAAGAUAUUACAGUAAAAAUAUCAUCGAAAGGAAAAUUGAGGAAAAUAAAGAGGAAAGAAUGAAGGAUAAGUGGUCAAGGAAAAUUACAAGAUUCCAAAGAAAGCACGAUCACUACUAUCUGAAAGCAAAACCUACAAAAAAAUCGCCGAUUAAAACUUUAAGGUCAUCUUCGACAAGGAAAAAGUCGAAAUCGUGGAUAACAAUAUAAAUAUGAUUCUUAUCGCUGAUACCGUUAAGGGAUAAAAAUCCAGGGUCCGCGUCGAAGGGUUGCGCGAUCGGGAGGGAAGGAGGCUCGGCUGCGGUGGCGGUAGGGCGAAUCGGACGGUGAGGCACGAGGACUAAUAUCCUACGCCGAUGAGGCCGCCGAUCGCCUGCUCCCCGCUACCCGCCCGCUGAACACCUGAUCGUCCCGGCGUGCGACCUGGAUGGCAAGGUACUGCGGGAGGGGGGUAUUUUUGUUUUGGUUCGGCUAAAUUCGGCAAACCAGUAAUAAUAGGACUCGGCAAGCUUCGGAUUUGCCGAAUUUAAUCUCUUUCCCUCGGAGAAGGGCCGGGAUAGUCAUCUUCACGGAGCCCAGAUAACAAUCGAAUACACUCCAACCGAUGAGAUGGCUGCGAACAUUUUUACCAAGGGACUAUCCAGGCCAAAACACAUGAAAUGUGUGAAACUCCUCGCUUUGUCUAACUUCCCAAUCUCGAAGAACAACCAUCCUUAAAUCGAGGGGGAGUAUUGAAUUUUAAAAGGCACGCUAUUGCAAUAUUAGUAUGUCGCUGAUAUAAGAUCGCACUGCGUACACGCCAUGCUCCUCUCUCUCGAGGUCGCAGCAACAGCGAAUAUCCACAAUACGUUCCACAGAGGCACCGUAUUUUGAUGGACGAUCAACCGCUGAUUUAAUUAGUUCGCUUCAGAAGAUACAAGUCUCUAAGACAACGAACGGUCGUGACAACCAUCCACUGUCAACGACAACGAAUCAUGCAAUAACAUUAAAGUUAAUCGAAAGACAACUAUACGCAAUUUAGCAACGACAUUUGGCUGCUGUCGCACCAUCAUGACGCAUCUUCACGAUCUUGACUGUCUCAAGAUGAUAGCAUGAUGGAUCCUACAUCGGCUAACUGAUACUCAUCGUCAAGUCAUAGUCGACAUCUACGAAUCACUUCUCUUCUAACCGCAUCGUAAAAAGUUUCUCGAGGAUUUAGUGACUGAUGCUGAAAGCUAGAUCCUUUACAACAAUAAUGUACGGCACGCUAUCUGGCUUCCUCGCGACGCAGAGCCAUCAAUGCAGCUGAAGCUGACCCUUAUACGUACAAGCGUUCUCUUUCUGUUUGAAACAAACCAACGACAUUUAAGGAAAACAUCCGGGACACACAACUGGUUAAAUCUUCCAAGACAAUUUACACUCGCCUUCACAUUGCUUCAGAAACUCGACUGAAAAUCGCGGAGCUCGGAUAGCACCGUACUCUCCGAACAGAGAGCCAUCAGAUUACUAUUUGUUCCAACCACUGAAGCUUUAUCUGCAAAGAAAAGCGUUCAACACAUACGCUCUCAAAAUAGCAAUCGAAAACUUCUUCACAUUGCAAGUUUAUUCCCGAGAGAAUAGGCAAUCACCAAUUCCAAUAUCUUCAGAUAUGGUAAUCUUCUGGUGUCACGUCUAUGAUUAUCACGGUAGAAAGCUUACGAAGAUUCCUAAAUGACUCAACUUCUUUCUAAAUCAAUUUCAUUCUACAUUUAAGAUUAUAUUAUCUUGUCA